GGCCCAUUGGUGAUUAUUUGAGGGAGCUUCAGCCCCAACACGGGAAGUCACCUGAGUUCGACUCACGCUGGUCACCGGAGGCAACCCCUGGGCCAUCACAAAUUUUUGUAAGGCCAUGUUCAAAAAAAUAUUAACAAUGUAUUUAACGAUAUAAUGAAAUAGUUUUAAAAGUUAUUAGCUUUAUAUAUAUAUUUGAGGUUUAUCUUCCAAUUAUAAACUACUCCCUCCGUUUCGAAUUAGAUGUCGUUUUAGAGUAAAAUUUUCGAUUCAAAAUUAGUGUCGUUUUAUGAUUUCAAUGCAAAAUUUAUUGAUUUUUUAUUCUAAUCUAUUUUUCUAUUUGUUGAAAUCUGGUUAGAUGUAUUGGUAAUAAUGUUUUUAUCUAGUAAAUAGAUAAAAUUAAAUGUUUUAUUAAUCUGUGUUUCGAAAUCUAAAACGACAAGUAAAAUGAAAUGGAGGGAGUAUAAGCUUAAGAAUAUAUCUAAAAUUUUGAAAUUUAAAACAAGUUUAUGUAUUUCAUUUUAAAAAUUUCUUAAUAUUUUUUUUUUUACUUUUAUAAUCGGGU
rnacentral:lncRNA from 1 species